UACGUAGGGGGCUAGCGUUGUCCGGAAUCAUUGGGCGUAAAGAGCGCGUAGGCGGCCCGGUAAGUCCGUUGUAAAAGUCAAAGGCUCAACCUUUGAAUGCCGAUGGAUACUGCCGGGCUAGAGUCCGGAAGAGGCGAGUGGAAUUCCUGGUGUAGCGGUGGAAUGCGCAGAUAUCAGGAGGAACACCGAUAGCGAAGGCAGCUCGCUGGGACGGUACUGACGCUGAGGCGCGACAGCGUGGGGAGCAAACAGG
rnacentral:rRNA from 1 species